GGGAUAUUGCGCAAUGGGGGAAACCCUGACGCAGCAACGCCGCGUGCAGGAAGACGGCCUUCGGGUUGUAAACUGUUGUCGCAAGGGAAGAAGAAAGUGACGGUACCUUGUGAGAAAGCCACGGCUAACUACGUGCCAGCAGCCGCGGUAAUACGUAGGUGGCAAGCGUUGUCCGGAUUUACUGGGUGUAAAGGGCGCGUAGGCGGGCUUUCAAGUCAGAUGUGAAAUACCGAGGCUUAACCUCGGGGCUGCAUUUGAAACUGUUAGUCUUGAGUAUCGGAGAGGAAAGCGGAAUUCCUAGUGUAGCGGUGAAAUGCGUAGAUAUUAGGAGGAACACCAGUGGCGAAGGCGGCUUUCUGGACGACAACUGACGCUGAGGCGCGAAAGUGUGGGGAGCAAACA
rnacentral:rRNA from 1 species